UACGGGGGGGGCAAGCGUUGUUCGGAAUUACUGGGCGUAAAGGGCUCGUAGGUGGCCAACUAAGUCAUACGUGAAAUCCCUCGGCUUAACCGGGGAACUGCGUCUGAUACUGGAUGGCUUGAGGUUGGGAGAGGGAUGCGGAAUUCCAGGUGUAGCGGUGAAAUGCGUAGAUAUCUGGAGGAACACCGGUGGCGAAGGCGGUUCUCUGGGCCUUACCUGACGCUGAGGAGCGAAAGCGUGGGGAGCGAACAGG
rnacentral:rRNA from 1 species